rnacentral:lncRNA from 1 species
GAGCCAAUAUCUCUGCUUUUUACCAUUCAAUUGAUCUCAAAAUUUUCAUACGUAAAGAAUAACAAGUCUAAUAUCCUCACAUAUAAAUUUCACUCCAAUCCAACUAGUAGAUUACAAAAAAUCUUAAAAACCCUCACUAGACCUAAAAUUCUAUUUUCUAAGACCUUGACCCACUUAAACCUCAAUAAUCCUCAAUUUAACUAUUAGAUCGAGCU